GAUAAACGCUAGCGGCAGGCUUAGCACAUGCAAGUCGAGGGGCAGCAUAGAUUGUAGCAAUACAAUUGGUGGCGACCGGCGCACGGGUGCGUAACGCGUAUGCAACCUACCCGUCACCGGGGGAUAAUCCGGAGAAAUCUGGUCUAAUACCCCAUAACAUAUGGAUCGGCAUCGGUUCAUGUUGAAAUUUUCGGAGGUGACGGAUGGGCAUGCGUAGCAUUAGCUUGUUGGUGAGGUAACGGCUCACCAAGGCGACGAUGCUUAGGGGGACUGAGAGGUUUUCCCCCACACUGGUACUGAGACACGGACCAGACUCCUACGGGAGGCAGCAGUGAGGAAUAUUGGUCAAUGGGCGCAAGCCUGAACCAGCCAUGCCGCGUGCAGGAUGACGGCUCUAUGAGUUGUAAACUGCUUUUGUACGAGGGUAAAGUGGGUUACGUGUAACCUUUUGAAAGUAUCGUACGAAUAAGGAUCGGCUAACUCCGUGCCAGCCGCCGCCGUAA
rnacentral:rRNA from 1 species